rnacentral:ncRNA from 20 species
UCAUAAGUUAGCCAUCGUGGUUCUGCGGGCAAGUCGUGCCCGGAGCUAAGAGGGAAGCCGGUGCGGCGCAAGCCAAGGCCGGAGCUGCCCCCGCAACUGUAAGCGGCGAGCCGCUGUCCAACAAUGUCACUGGGACCGAUGAGGUUUCGGGAAGGCCGGACAGCAGCGUUGACCCGCGAGCCAGGAGACCUGCCACGAUGAAAUUCAACGUC